GACGAACGCUGGCGGCGUGCCUAAUACAUGCAAGUUGAGCGCUGAAGGUUGGUACUUGUACCAACUGGAUGAGCAGCGAACGGGUGAGUAACGCGUGGGGAAUCUGCCUUUGAGCGGGGGACAACAUUUGGAAACGAAUGCUAAUACCGCAUAAAAACUUUAAACACAAGUUUUAAGUUUGAAAGAUGCAAUUGCAUCACUCAAAGAUGAUCCCGCGUUGUAUUAGCUAGUUGGUGAGGUAAAGGCUCACCAAGGCAAUGAUACAUAGCCGACCUGAGAGGGUGAUCGGCCACAUUGGGACUGAGACACGGCCCAAACUCCUACGGGAGGCAGCAGUAGGGAAUCUUCGGCAAUGGACGAAAGUCUGACCGAGCAACGCCGCGUGAGUGAAGAAGGUUUUCGGAUCGUAAAACUCUGUUGGUAGAGAAGAACGUUGGUGAGAGUGGAAAGCUCAUCAAGUGACGGUAACUACCCAGAAAGGGACGGCUAACUACGU
rnacentral:rRNA from 1 species